rnacentral:rRNA from 1 species
UACGAGUGCCUCAAGCGUUAUCCGGAAUCAUUGGGCGUAAAGCGGGCGUAGGUGGUCUGAUAAGUCAGAUGUGAAAGCCCAGGGCUUAACCCUGGAAGUGCAUUUGAUACUGUCAGGCUUGAGUGUGGGAGAGGAUAGCAGAAUUCCUGGUGUAGUGGUGAAAUACGUAGAUAUCAGGAGGAAUACCGGAGGCGAAGGCGGCUAUCUGGCCCAACACUGACACUGAGACCCGAAAGCGUGGGGAUCAAACAGG